GAUUCUGGCUCAGAACGAACGCUGGCGGCAUGCCUAACACAUGCAAGUCGAACGAUGGCUUCGGCCAUAGUGGCGCACGGGUGAGUAACGCGUGGGAAACUGCCCAUCAGUGGGGAAUAACAGUGGGAAACUGCUGCUAAUACCGCAUACGCCCUUCGGGGGAAAGAUUUAUCGCUGAUGGAUGUGCCCGCGUCCGAUUAGGUAGUUGGUGGGGUAAAGGCCUACCAAGCCGACGAUCGGUAGCUGGUCUGAGAGGAUGAUCAGCCACACUGGGACUGAGACACGGCCCAGACUCCUACGGGAGGCAGCAGUGGGGAAUAUUGGACAAUGAGCGAAAGCCUGAUCCAGCAAUGCCGCGUGAAUGAUGAAGGCCUUAGGGUUGUAAAGUUCUUUCGGGUGGGACGAUGAUGACGGUACCACCAGAAGAAGCCCCGGCUAACUUCGUGCCAGCCGCCGC
rnacentral:rRNA from 1 species